AGAAUGAACGUUGGCGGCGUGGAUUAGGCAUGCAAGUCGAGCGAGAACCCCGCAAGGGGGGACAGCGGCGAAAGGGACAGUAAUGUGUAGGUACCUACCCUCGGGUCCGGGAUAGCUGCGGGAAACUGCAGGUAAUACCGGAUAACAUCUCCGGAUCAAAGGUGUGAUUCCGCCCGGGGAGGGGCCUGCAUCCUAUUAGCUAGUUGGUAAGGUAACGGCUUACCAAGGCCAUGAUGGGUAGCGGGUGUGAGAGCACGACCCGCGUCACUGGGACUGAGACACUGCCCAGACACCUACGGGUGGCUGCAGUCGAGGAUCUUCGGCAAUGGGCGAAAGCCUGACCGAGCGACGCCGCGUGCGGGAUGAAGGCCUUCGGGUUGUAAACCGCUGUCAGUGGGGAGGAAGGCUCCGUGAAGAACGGGUUUGACCUAUCCGCAGAGGAAGCAAGGGCUAAGUUCGUGCCAGCAGCCGC
rnacentral:rRNA from 1 species